UACGUAGGGGGCAAGCGUUAUCCGGAUUUAUUGGGUUUAAAGGGUGCGUAGGCGGUCGGAUAAGUUAGAGGUGAAAUCCCGAGGCUCAACUUCGGAAUUGCCUCUGAUACUGUUCAGCUAGAGAGUAGUUGCGGUAGGCGGAAUGUAUGGUGUAGCGGUGAAAUGCAUAGAUAUCACGCAGAACCCCGAUUGCGAAGGCAGCAUACCGGUGCACAACUGACGCUCAGGCACGAAAGCGUGGGUAUCGAACAGG
rnacentral:rRNA from 1 species